GGCCUGCAGCUUGCUGCGGGUACUCGAGUGGCGAACGGGUGAGUAACACGUGGGUGAUCUGCCUUGCACUUCGGGAUAAGCUUGGGAAACUGGGUCUAAUACCGGAUAGGACAGCUGUUUAGUGUCAGUUGUGGAAAGUUUUUUCGGUGCAAGAUGAGCUCGCGGCCUAUCAGCUUGUUGGUGGGGUAAUGGCCUACCAAGGCGUCGACGGGUAGCCGGCCUGAGAGGGUGUACGGCCACAUUGGGACUGAGAUACGGCCCAGACUCCUACGGGAGGCAGCAGUGGGGAACAUUGCACAAUGGGCGGAAGCCUGAUGCAGCGACGCCGCGUGGGGGAUGAAGGCCUUCGGGUUGUAAACUCCUUUCGACAGGGACGAAGCGUAAGUGACGGUACCUGUAUAAGAAGCACCGGCUAACUACGUGCCAGCAGCCGCGGUAAUACGUAGGGUGCGAGCGUUGUCCGGAAUUACUGGGCGUAAAGAGCUCGUAGGUGGUUUGUCGCGUCGUCUGUGAAAUUCCGGGGCUUAACUCCGGGCGUGCAGGCGAUACGGGCUGACUUGAGUGCUGUAGGGGAGACUGGAAUUCCUGGUGUAGCGGUGAAAUGCGCAGAUAUCAGGAGGAACACCGAUGGCGAAGGCAGGUCUCUGGGCAGUAACUGACGCUGAGGAGCGAAAGCAUGGGUAGCGAACAGGAUUAGAUACCCUGGUAGUCCAUGCCGUAAACGGUGGGCGCUAGGUGUAUGGGGGCAUUCCUACAGUCUUCUGUAGCUCAGUACGCUACACGCAU
rnacentral:rRNA from 1 species